CACGCCGUAAACAAUGGACGCUAGGUGUUCGGUACAACUACUUAAUCCUUCGGGAUUGAAUGGAAGUAUUGAGUACUGCAGCUAACGCGUUAAGCGUCCCGCCUGGGAAGUACGGCCGCA
rnacentral:rRNA from 1 species